AGUGAACGCUGGCGGUAGGCCUAACACAUGCAAGUCGAACGGCAGCACAGUAAGAGCUUGCUCUUACGGGUGGCGAGUGGCGGACGGGUGAGGAAUACAUCGGAAUCUACUUUUUCGUGGGGGAUAACGUAGGGAAACUUACGCUAAUACCGCAUACGACCUACGGGUGAAAGCAGGGGAUCUUCGGACCUUGCGCGAUUGAAUGAGCCGAUGUCGGAUUAGCUAGUUGGCGGGGUAAAGGCCCACCAAGGCGACGAUCCGUAGCUGGUCUGAGAGGAUGAUCAGCCACACUGGAACUGAGACACGGGCCAGACUCCGACGGGAGGCAGGAGUGGGGAAUAUUGGGAAAUGGGGGCAAGCCUGAUCCAGCCAUACCGGGUGGGUGAAGAAGGCCUUCGGGUUGUAAAGCCCUUUUGUUGGGAAAGAAAAGCAGCAGGUUAAUACCCCGCUGUUCUGACGGUACCCAAAGAAUAAGCACCGGCUAACUUCGU
rnacentral:rRNA from 1 species